UUUCUUAAAAUGUAUGGCAAAUUAAGAUUCUGAAUGAAUAAAACAUAGAAUGGGAGAAAACUUGCAUGAUGAUGAUAUAAAUAACCCCAAUAGAAUUCCACUUUUUCUGAUGCAAGUGUUUCUUAUACUAAAUUUCAAUGUGACUUUUGGUGGACAUUUUGUUGAAUUUAUCGUGUCCUUAAAAAUCUUGUUGUUAAAAACAUGUCUCAGUUGAAUGUAUCUUUCAAAUACUCUUUGCUAUGUG
rnacentral:lncRNA from 1 species